AUCCACCACCUCAGCCUAACCUUGUGCCCUGUCCUGAUGAACAACCACCUCCAUAUGCAGAACUUUACCCCAACUUAUAUGACCCUACAACUCUACCCCAUCCAGGAGCUGCUGCAGGGCUUUAUCCAGAUCCAAAUGCUGUGCUGCCUGGUUUCAAUCCGACUCCAUCUGCACCAGUUUAUGAUCCAAAUCAAAGCACUAAAGAAUCCUUUCCUAAUGUGUCUUAUUAGUCUCCUUCACCAGACAAACCUCUGACCACCACUUAUGAUGUGUCAAUUAUAACUUCAUGGUUUUAUCUGCAUGAAUUCAAGCUUGGUGCCUAUUAUUGUGCCUUUUACACUUAGCACUUUUCUUAAAAGGGUUAGUUCAUUGUCAUUAAUUACUCACCUUAAUAUUCCAAACCCAGUAAGACCUUCAUAAAAUUAAGGUUGAACCACUGUAGUCACAUGGACUAUUUUAACGAUGUCUUUACUACCUUUCUGGGCCUUGAAAAUGGUAGUUGCUUUGCUGUCUAUAGAGGGACAGAAAGCUCUUGGAUUACAUCAAAAAUAUCUUAAUUUGUGUUCUGAAGAUGAACAAAGGUCUUACGGGUUUGGAACGACAUGAGGGUUAGUAAAUGAAGAAAGAAUUUGUAAUUUUUGCAAGAACUAACCCUUUACUUUUACAGGGAAUGUACAGUAAAAUCUUCAGUUUUUGAGAUGUCGUUUUUUUUUGGCCUUUGUAGUUCACUGUUCAGUUCCCCAUUUCCCCUGUGCUCCAAAAACACAGGUCUAAAAACCUUUCUAUCCUUUAUUGCAGUACAAAAACAUUUUUAAAAAUGUAGCUGAUCACUCCUACUGAAACUUAUUUUGCUGAUAGUACUGCAUUUGUUUUGAUAAUGUGUUCAUAUUAGAGGAUAUUGCAGCUUUUUCUUAGUACUAGAUUUGUGGUUUUGACCUCCGUCCAUGAAAUUUUGAUUGUAAUUGCUGCAAAAAUUUUACAGGAUUGUUUGAGUUUCUUACCAAAGUUAUGAUUAUUGCAUGAAAUGUUGGUUACGCAAGAGUCAAAUGCAAAGUAUCGACUAAAGGUUUAACAACACAGACAAUGUGAAAUUAUAAAAUAAUUGUUUUAAUCCA